rnacentral:rRNA from 1 species
GUGAGGAAUAUUGCGCAAUGGAGGCAACUCUGACGCAGCCAUGCCGCGUGCAGGAAGAAGGCGCUACGCGUUGUAAACUGCUUUUAACCGGGAAGAAACCCCAGGACGUGUCCUGGGUUGACGGUACCGGAGGAAUAAGCACCGGCUAACUUCGUGCCAGCAGCCGCGGUAAUACGAAGGGUGCAAGCGUUAUCCGGAUUCAUUGGGUUUAAAGGGUGCGUAGGCGGAGCGUUAAGUCAGUGGUGAAAUCCUGCAGCUUAACUGUAGACUUGCCAUUGAUACUGGCGCUCUUGAGUGCACUUGAAGUGGGCGGAAUGUGCCGUGUAGCGGUGAAAUGCUUAGAUAUGGCACAGAACACCAAUUGCGAAGGCAGCUCACUAAGGCGAUACUGACGCUGAGGCACGAAAGCGUGGGGAUCGAACAGGAUUAGAAACCCCUGUAGUCC